rnacentral:snRNA from 1 species
AGCUCUGCACAGUGGCAGUAUCGUAGCCAAUGAGGUUUAUCCGAGGUGCGAUUAUUGCUAAUUGAAAACACACACACACGCGC